rnacentral:lncRNA from 1 species
UGAAGAAGGUGGAGAACAAGGUGUGAGCAAGUGUAAAGUGUGUAUGCUCUCUCUUGUACUAAUAUUCCUAAAGCAAUAUAGUACUACUUUGUUCAUAUAAGUCUCCCGGUUAGGCCUUGUUAUUUCUAAGUACUUAGUGCAUAUAAGUUGUGAUUUAACGUGAGCGGAUUCGCCCGGAAUCACAACGGUCUUGUUUCAACGUGAGUGGCAUAGCCGCCCGGAUUCAAGACUUGCUUUAACGUGAGUGGCUCUGCCGCUCGGAAGCUUGCACUAAGGAAGUAUAAAUAAAAAGGGACUAAUCAACUACACCAAAGUAGUUGGUAUAGGUGAAUAGGCCCUCUCGUAGUGUGUUCGUCCACCUCGAAAUCUCUACAGUUGGUAUCAGAGCAGGCGGUCCGGGACCGUCAUUUGGAGGAAGAGUUGUAAGCACGGGGUGCUUGCUUGGUUCGGUGCAACAAGAAGGCGCUGAGGGGAGACUCUGCUGGUGCACAGUCUGGGACUGUGAAGCUGGUCCGGGACCAAAGCUUACUUGACGCUGGGCGCAAGUCACCAUGGCGGAUCUUGCUAGCUCAAGCAGCGGGAUAUUGGACACGAGGUAGAAACACCCAUGCUCCUAUUAACCUAGGCACAUUGAGUAGAAACAUCAAUGCUCCUACCCAGUUCAAACCAUUCAUGUUAUUAGGAAAUUUGAAUGAGUGAGACUUUCCUUACAGCUUCAAUAUCUAGUUGCUCAUAAUUGUCCGUAACCGGGGACACGGCUAAGUACUUAGUUUGACACUCUCAAGAGGUGGUACACUUUACCCACUAGAAAUCGACGUGUUAAUCCCUUGCUGUCCUCAGGGUAGAGUAGCAAGGGCAUCGAUUACAGGAAUUUUCAGAACAUAUUCCCCCAAACCACCUGAGGGAUGCGUUCCAACCUACACUGCUACAUACCGAUGUCACCUCGGAUCCAGGUUCAUAUUUUUUACAUCCAUCCUGGCAGAGCCCAUAAUACCAUGUGGUUGUACUGGAAGCUACUAAACAGGAAACUAGUCUAGUCUCUGGUUAUCCUGGGUGGCAUCCCACAUUGUGACGCAGGCGCUCCCCGAAUCGCACGGGGAGACGGCCAUGGACGCUCCCGAAU